GACAGAGGGUGCAAACGUUGUUCGGAAUUACUGGGCGUAAAGGGCGCGUAGGCGGAUACUUAAGUCGGGGGUGAAAGCCCAGGGCUCAACCCUGGAACAGCCUUCGAUACUGGGUAUCUUGAGUACGGGAGAGGUGUGUGGAACUCCGAGUGUAGAGGUGAAAUUCGUAGAUAUUCGGAAGAACACCAGUGGCGAAGGCGGCUCACUGGACUGGUAUUGACGCUGAGGUGCGAAAGCGUGGGGAGCAAACAGG
rnacentral:rRNA from 1 species